AUUGAACGCUGGCGGCAGGCCUAACACAUGCAAGUCGAGCGGAUGAAGGGAGCUUGCUCCUGGAUUCAGCGGCGGACGGGUGAGUAAUGCCUAGGAAUCUGCCUGGUAGUGGGGGAUAACGUCCGGAAACGGGCGCUAAUACCGCAUACGUCCUGAGGGAGAAAGUGGGGGAUCUUCGGACCUCACGCUAUCAGAUGAGCCUAGGUCGGAUUAGCUAGUUGGCGGGGUAAAGGCCUACCAAGGCGACGAUCCGUAACUGGUCUGGGAGGUUGAUCAGUCACACUGAAACGGAGACACGGUCCGGACUCCUACGGAAGGCAGCAGUGGGAAUAUUGGACAAUGGGCGAAAGCCUGAUCCAGCCAUGCCGCGUGUGUGAAGAAGGUCUUCGGAUUGUAAAGCACUUUAAGUUGGGAGGAAGGGCAGUAAGUUAAUACCUUGCUGUUUUGACGUUACCAACAGAAUAAGCACCGGCUAACUUCGUG
rnacentral:rRNA from 1 species